GAUGAACGCUGGCGGCGUGCCUAAUACAUGCCAGUCGAGCGAACGGACGAGACGCUUGCUUCUCUGAUGUUAGCGGCGGACGGGUGAGUAACACGUGGAUAACCUACCUAUAAGACUGGGAUAACUUCGGGAAACCGGAGCUAAUACCGGAUAAUAUUUUGAACCGCAUGGUUCAAAAGUAAAAGACGGUCUUGCUGUCACUUAUAGAUGGUUCCGCGCUGCAUUAGCUAGUUGGUAAGGUAACGGCUUACCAAGGCAACGAUGCAUAGCCGACCUGAGAGGGUGAUCGGCCACACUGGAACUGAGACACGGUCCAGACUCCUACGGGAGGCAGCAGUAGGGAAUCUUCCGCAAUGGGCGAAAGCCUGACGGAGCAACGCCGCGUGAGUGAUGAAGGUCUUCGGAUCGUAAAACUCUGUUAUUAGGGAAGAACAUAUGUGUAAGUAACUGUGCACAUCUUGACGGUACCUAAUCAGAAAGCCACGGCUAACUACGUG
rnacentral:rRNA from 1 species